GGGGAAUAAAAUGGGAAUGUUUGGCCAUUGCACUUUGCGUGUGGCAAGGUGUUGCUGAGGCGCCAUUGGGAUCUCUGUGUUUCCGUGAAGACUGGACUUGGACUGUGAUUCGGAUCUGCUGAUACCAUCUGGCUUGGCUCUCGCUGUGUCUUAUCGUGGACCUGGUUUGGAUGACUGCACCCUC